rnacentral:rRNA from 1 species
GAUGAACGCUGGCGGCGUGCCUAAUACAUGCAAGUCGAGCGGACAGACGAGGAGCUUGCUCCUCUGACGUUAGCGGCGGACGGGUGAGUAACACGUGGAUAACCUACCUAUAAGACUGGGAUAACUUAGGGAAACCGGAGCUAAUACCGGAUAAUAUAUUGAACCGCAUGGUUCAAUAGUGAAAGACGGCUUUGCUGUCACUUAUAGAUGGAUCCGCGCCGCAUUAGCUAGUUGGUAAGGUAACGGCUUACCAAGGCAACGAUGCGUAGCCGACCUGAGAGGGUGAUCGGCCACACUGGAACUGAGACACGGUCCAGACUCCUACGGGAGGCAGCAGUAGGGAAUCUUCCGCAAUGGGCGAAAGCCUGACGGGGCAACGCCGCGUGAGUGAUGAAGGUCUUCGGAUCGUAAAACUCUGUUAUUAGGGAAGAACAAAUGUGUAAGUAACUAUGCACGUCUUGACGGUACCUAAUCAGAAAGCCACGGCUAACUACGUG